UACGAAGGGUGCAAGCGUUACUCGGAAUUACUGGGCGUAAAGCGUGCGUAGUCGGUUAUCUAAGUCGGGUGUGAAAUCCCCGGGCUCAACCUGGGAAUUGCAUUCGAUACUGGAUAGCUAGAGUUCGGCAGAGGGAAGCGGAAUUUCCGGUGUAGCGGUGAAAUGCGUAGAUAUCGGAAGGAACAUCAGUGGCGAAAGCGGCUUCCUGGACCAGAACUGACGAUCAGGCACGAAAGCGUGGGGAGCAAACAGG
rnacentral:rRNA from 1 species